rnacentral:rRNA from 1 species
UAAUCUACCCCAGAGUCUGGAAUAACCGGCCGAAAGGCUGGCUAAUACUAGAUAGAGCGACGGAAUCCGUAAUUGGGUUUUUCGGGAAAGGGAGCUUGAUAAGAGCCCUCGCUUUGGGAUGAGCCUGCGUCUCAUUAGGUAGUUGGUGGGGUAAUGGCCUACCAAGCCUUUGAUGGGUAGCUGGUCUGAGAGGAUGAUCAGCCACACUGGAACUGAAACACGGUCCAG